CACGCGCACCUGCGGGAGGUUUCCCGGGCAAGGCCCGUCGGAAAUGCGUUGUCUCUGGCACUGCAGACGCUUUACCUCAUUCGAUCACUUUAAAUUUCCAUUAACAAUUUAUUGCAGGCCAUCGAUGUAGUAGAAAUUCCAAGCCAUUGCCCCAGUUUCGGUCUUAAUUACUGCUCACCCACACAGCAGUCUCCCAACUGGCCUCUGAUUCCCUGUUCCACCUUUUCCCUCUAAACCAUCUCCUCUGUGUGGCCAGAUUGAUCUUCCAGAGCACAUCUCAAGUGACCGUCUUAGGAUUUAUCCAUGCUCAUAUAAGAUAUUUGUUUGAGUAAUAAGAGAUUAAAAAUAGAACUGGCUGUGUCUAACAACGGGCCAAAGCCCCACUAGACUGGAACAGGACAAUAGGUGAUGAAUAUUCCCAUGUUCCAAAGUGAGAAGCUACCAUCUGCGGAGCUGGAAUAGACUUUGUGGCCUGAAGGCCCCAAGCGUUCCUAGAGGGGGUUCUGAACUGAAGUAUCUAAGAGGGAUUUCUUUGGAGAAAUUCAUUUCCAGAGUCUUUUUUUUCCCCUUCAUUUCCAGAGAGUCUUACUCCUAAUCCUUUAGGAGACAUCUAAGGGCACUGCUGCCCUGAAGAGCUUGAUUUGUGCAAAUGGGAACAGAGACAUGGGCAGAGACCUUGUUGGUCUGCUGUCUGAGCAGUGCCUGAAAACUUGAAAGGCCAGCUGGUUGUUUGAAGGCCAAAAGGUGAGAGGUGCAUCUGUUAGGAAAACCUUCACUCCUGGGGUUUGUCAGGAUAAACGAUGUGGCAUGCCCUGUGGACAGGAUGAGGGCCACAAGUGUGAGAGGCAGCACAGCAUAGUCAAAUAAGAUUUUCUGGCAGAUUGAGUUGACUGAGCUGAGAGACCCUGGUGGUGUUCCAUUGGUAAGAGGCUGGGGUCAGAGAAGGUGGAGUUGGAUACCCGCCAGAGAAGAGACCUGGCUGGCUUUAAAAAAAAAAAAAAACAUGGGAUGAGAGCUCCCCAGGGACGCAGUCUCCAAUGAACGAGGGAGAGCUCCAAGGUGGAGAAAGAGAUCACUUUUAAUACAUUUCAAAACCAGAACAAGGCAGUUUACUUAUGUCGUUCUUUCCUGCUGGUCUCCCUGGAAGAGUCAGACACUUCUUCAUGAGUGUGCGAAAGGAAGAGUGGCCCUUUUCCCACUGCAGGAAAUUCCAGCCUGAAGGAAGCCCCAGCUGCGGAGGGGAGAAUUUUUGAGCUCAGAGUCCUGGCUGUUACAUGGGAAUAGACAUUUUGAUGGUAGGAAACACAUAGUUUUUAUGAUUAAGUGUGAAAAAGUGAUUUUUAUGCAAAAGACUGAUCCAAGGAAUCAUGGCACCUGCCUGGGAUAUCAUCCAAGUGGGAAAAAAAAAAUCCUGUCCUCAAAACUCAAAACAAAAGGACAGUGGGGAGUAAAAUAAAGUUUUAUAAUGCAUCCUAUGGGGUCCUGUGUCCUGUGUUUUCAAUGGAUUGACGACACUGACAUAAAAUCAGAAUGAGCAAAAUAUUGUAUGUAACUGAAAUUUCUAGCCAUUAAUAAGUUAACACAAAUAAUAAAAUGUAAUAAUGAAUUACAAAAAAGAUUUUGCAACUUUAUACCAAAAUGUUAAUUGCAUGAACAGUGUGAUACACAGGGCUGAAGCCGACAGUUCUUCGGGUUGUGCAUUAAAUGCCUGCAGAAGAGUCAUCAGCAUUGUGAUUAUUCUAA